UACGAAGGGGGCUAGCGUUGCUCGGAAUCACUGGGCCUAAAGCGCACGUAGGCGGCUAGGUCCGUCCGAUGUGAAAGCCCCCGGCUCAACCGGGGAAUGGCAUCGGAUACAGCCUGGCUUGAGGACGGUUGGGGUGAGUGGAACUCCUGGUGGAGCGGUGAAAUGCGUAGAUAUCAGGAGGAACACCGGUGGCGAAAGCGGCUCACUGGACCGUUACUGACGCUGAGGUGCGAAAGCUAGGGGAGCAAACGGG
rnacentral:rRNA from 1 species